rnacentral:rRNA from 1 species
CAAGCCCUGGAAACGGGGUCUAAUACCGGGUACGACACAGUCAGGCAUCUGAUCUGUGUGGAAAGCUCCGGCGGUGGAGGAUGAGCCCGCGGCCUAUCAGCUAGUUGGUGGGGUGAUGGCCUACCAAGGCGACGACGGGUAGCCGGCCUGAGAGGGCGACCGGCCACACUGGGACUGAGACACGGCCCAGACUCCUACGGGAGGCAGCAGUGGGGAAUAUUGCACAAUGGGCGAAAGCCUGAUGCAGCGACGCCGCGUGAGGGAUGACGGCCUUCGGGUUGUAAACCUCCUUCAGCAGGGAAGAAGCGAAAGUGACGGUACCUGCAGAAGAAGCGCCGGCUAACUACGUGCCAGCAGCCGCGGUAAUACGUAGGGCGCAAGCGUUGUCCGGAAUUAUUGGGCGUAAAGAGCUCGUAGGCGGCUUGUCGCGUCGGUUGUGAAAGCCCGGGGCUUAACCCCGGGUCUGCAUUCGAUACGGGCAGGCUAGAGUUCGGUAGGGGAGAUCGGAAUUCCUGGU